GGAGCUUUUACAUGAUUUUCAUGAUUUCAAGUGUAGUCUUGUUGAUGUAUCCUCUGUGGUUAAUGCUAAGAUAACUUUCGACAUUACAUGUAUCAAACAUCUGCACGAUGAUUAUGCUCAAUAUUCUGAUUCUGAUGAAGACGAUGAAGACAGUUGCAGUGAUUAUCAUCAAACUUUUAAGACCCUCAUCCAAGAUUACCUUCAAAAGCUAUGUCGGGCAACUGAAUUAACAUUCGGAACUUUC
rnacentral:misc_RNA from 1 species